GGAGGGGUCAUAGCUCAGCGGUAGAGCAUCUGCCUGGCAUGUAGAAAAUCCCAAAUUCAAUCUCCGGCAUUUCCA
rnacentral:tRNA from 1 species